rnacentral:rRNA from 1 species
GAUGAACGCUGGCGGCGUGCUUAACACAUGCAAGUCGAACGAAGCAUUUAGGACAGAUUACUUCGGUUUGAAGUUCUUUAUGACUGAGUGGCGGACGGGUGAGUAACGCGUGGGUGACCUGCCUUGUACUGGGGGAUAGCAGCUGGAAACGGCUGGUAAUACCGCAUAAGCGCACAAUGUUGCAUGACAUGGUGUGAAAAACUCCGGUGGUAUAAGAUGGACCCGCGUCUGAUUAGCUAGUUGGUGAGAUAACAGCCCACCAAGGCGACGAUCAGUAGCCGACCUGAGAGGGUGACCGGCCACAUUGGGACUGAGACACGGCCCAGACUCCUACGGGAGGCAGCAGUGGGGAAUAUUGCACAAUGGAGGAAACUCUGAUGCAGCGACGCCGCGUGAGUGAAGAAGUAAUUCGUUAUGUAAAGCUCUAUCAGCAGGGAAGAUAGUGACGGUACCUGACUAAGAAGCUCCGGCUAAAUACGUG